GAUGAACGCUGGCGGCGUGCCUAAUACAUGCAAGUCGAGCGAACGGACGAGAAGCUUGCUUCUCUGAUGUUAGCGGCGGACGGGUGAGUAACACGUGGAUAACCUACCUAUAAGACUGGGAUAACUUCGGGAAACCGGAGCUAAUACCGGAUAAUAUUUUGAACCGCAUGGUUCAAAAGUGAAAGACGGUCUUGCUGUCACUUAUAGAUGGAUCCGCGCUGCAUUAGCUAGUUGGUAAGGUAACGGCUUACCAAGGCAACGAUGCAUAGCCGACCUGAGAGGGUGAUCGGCCACACUGGAACUGAGACACGGUCCAGACUCCUACGGGAGGCAGCAGUAGGGAAUCUUCCGCAAUGGGCGAAAGCCUGACGGAGCAACGCCGCGUGAGUGAUGAAGGUCUUCGGAUCGUAAAACUCUGUUAUUAGGGAAGAACAUAUGUGUAAGUAACUGUGCACAUCUUGACGGUACCUAAUCAGAAAGCCACGGCUAACUACGUGCCAGCGGCCGCGGUAAUACGUAGGUGGCAAGCGUUAUCCGGAAUUAUUGGGCGUAAAGCGCGCGUAGGCGGUUUUUUAAGUCUGAUGUGAAAGCCCACGGCUCAACCGUGGAGGGUCAUUGGAAACUGGAAAACUUGAGUGCAGAAGAGGAAAGUGGAAUUCCAUGUGUAGCGGUGAAAUGCGCAGAGAUAUGGAGGAACACCAGUGGCGAAGGCGACUUUCUGGUCUGUAACUGACGCUGAUGUGCGAAAGCGUGGGGAUCAAACAGGAUUAGAUACCCUGGUAGUCCACGCCGUAAACGAUGAGUGCUAAGUGUUAGGGGGUUUCCGCCCCUUAGUGCUGCAGCUAACGCAUUAAGCACUCCGCCUGGGGAGUACGACCGCAAGGUUGAAACUCAAAGGAAUUGACGGGGACCCGCACAAGCGGUGGAGCAUGUGGUUUAAUUCGAAGCAACGCGAAGAACCUUACCAAAUCUUGACAUCCUUUGACAACUCUAGAGAUAGAGCCUUCCCCUUCGGGGGACAAAGUGACAGGUGGUGCAUGGUUGUCGUCAGCUCGUGUCGUGAGAUGUUGGGUUAAGUCCCGCAACGAGCGCAACCCUUAAGCUUAGUUGCCAUCAUUAAGUUGGGCACUCUAAGUUGACUGCCGGUGACAAACCGGAGGAAGGUGGGGAUGACGUCAAAUCAUCAUGCCCCUUAUGAUUUGGGCUACACACGUGCUACAAUGGACAAUACAAAGGGCAGCGAAACCGCGAGGUCAAGCAAAUCCCAUAAAGUUGUUCUCAGUUCGGAUUGUAGUCUGCAACUCGACUACAUGAAGCUGGAAUCGCUAGUAAUCGUAGAUCAGCAUGCUACGGUGAAUACGUUCCCGGGUCU
rnacentral:rRNA from 1 species